AAUGGCCGCAGUAUUUUGACUGUGCAAAGGUAGCAUAAUCAUUAGUUUUUUAAUUAGAAACUGGAAUGAAAGGUUGGACGAGAAAAUAACUGUCUCUUUAUGAUUUUUUUAGAAUUUUAUUUUUAAGUUAAAAAGCUUAAAUUUAUUUAAAAGACGAGAAGACCCUAUAGAGUUUUAUAUAAUUUUUUUUAAAUAAUUAAAAUUGAAUUAUUAUAAUUUUAAUAAUAAUUAUAUUUAAUUGGGGUGAUUAAAAAAUUUAAGUAACUUUUUUUUUAUCUAAACAUUAAUUUAUGAUUUAUUGAUCCAUUUAUUAUGAUUAUAAGAUUAAAUUACCUUAGGGAUAACAGCGUUAUUUCUUUGAAGAGUUCAAAUCGAUAAAGAAGUUUGCGACCUCGAUGUUGGAUUAAAAUUUAAUUUUGGUGUAGAAGCUAAAAUAUUAGGUCUGUUCGACCUUUAAAAUUUUACAUGAUCUGAGUUUAAACCGGUGUAAGCCAGGUUGGUUUCUAUCUUUAAAUAGUUUAUAUAUUUUAGUACGAAAGGACCAAGUAUUUAUAAUAUUUAU
rnacentral:rRNA from 1 species